GUUCCACUUGCCGUGGGCAUCUUUCAUAAAUUGCAAGACCAUGUGAAAUAUCAAUGACUUCAUCUUCGGUGCCAUGAAUUACAAGUACAGAACAGAAUUCAUCACCAUGGAUUAAAGGAUGUCAAGGUUAAAUAAUAAGCGACAUAAUAAACAGUCGGUAUUAUUAAAGACGAUGAUCGGUUGUAAAACCAAAACAUACAAAUUCCCUCAAAGCAAUACGUAAAACUAAUAUAUAUUGACCACAUGCCAAUACUCAUAGAAAAAGACGUUAAUGCAUGUGUGAUAUUACCAAAUAUUUUAAAACAACGGUACCAUAUUUACCUUCUAAA